rfam:Micromonospora avicenniae strain DSM 45758 genome assembly, contig: Ga0111705_113
CCGGUUCCGGUUCACGCCUGAGCCCGUCGUACGUGCGGCGGGUGGCGAGGGCGACCCGGCGACC